AGUAUAUCACUUUCCACUGCUCAUUUAUUUCUGCAAAGUUUCAGCCUUUGCCUCUCCCUUAAGUUUCUCAAACUCUCCCUCCUCUCUGUUUAUGUGAGUUUUGGCUUUGUAGUUUUGCUAGACAAGGAGUAGAGGAAUCGCACCACUACUUGUAAAGAGAGAGAAGCAGAAAUUGCAAUAACAGAGAAGAAGAUGCAUGUUAUAGUGAUAUCGUUGCCUUUGGUUAUAUUGGUAUUGAUCGUAGCUAUUGCUUGUUUCCUGUUUGGAAGAUCUCGGGGUCGCUGGUGAAUGGAGCCAGUCUGGCGGAAGAGGGUCGUGAUCGUCGAAAAAUUACAUUAUGUAUAUAUAUAAGAUUAAAAAAAAUGUAAAUGUAGUUAGCUAUUAAUUCUCUUAAUUUUCUGAAUCUGCUUGGUAAAAAUCCUACAUACCACCACUGCUCAGCAGUCGCCCCUCUUCUCCUCCUAAAAGACAGAAUACAGAUAUAGAGAGGAUAAAUGAAUCUAGAGGUUUCUAUGUGGUUGUAGCCUGUUUCUUGGUAGUGUAUUUAUAAGAAUGAAACUACUUUAUUAGUAUAUUAUUGUGGUGUCUUGUGUAAUGCACAUAAUGUACUUUCUUUGAACAUAAGGUGUAUUAAAUUAAUUUACUCGAGGA